GUUCUAAACCCUGAAGACACGACCACCACCACCACCAUUACUAAACCAAUAGAAGAACUUUCAACAAUGGUGAAACCUGAUCAGGCCUUAUACCUGAUAACAUUAAAGUUUGAAGAGGUUGUUUAUAAAGUCAAAAUUGAAGGUUCAAGAGUCGGAUCUACCACAUGUUGGAUAAAGUGAUCUUGCUCUCUAAAGGCUCAUAGAUUUACUAUGGUUCUGCUUCCACAUCUUUGGACUAUUUUUCUUCAAUUGGAUUUUCCAUGUCUGUUACAGUCAAACCGACUGACCUUUUUCUUGAUCUUACUAAUGGAAGGAAUUGCACCUGAUUCAAUGCAUGAUUAUGAGCAAGGUGAAAACACGAACGAUGAGAAGAAAUCAAUAAGGCAACAACUCAUCAGUUGUUAUGAAACAAGACUGAAAACUGAUGUAUGUGAUUUGGACGUUGG